rnacentral:rRNA from 1 species
GAUGAACGCUGGCGGCGUGCCUAAUACAUGCAAGUCGAGCGAACGGACGAGAAGCUUGCUUCUCUGAUGUUAGCGGCGGACGGGUGAGUAACACGUGGAUAACCUACCUAUAAGACUGGGAUAACUUCGGGAAACCGUAGCUAAUACCGGAUAAUAUUUUGAACCGCAUGGUUCAAAAGUGAAAGACGGUCUUGCUGUCACUUAUAGAUGGAUCCGCGCUGCAUUAGCUAGUUGGUAAGGUAACGGCUUACCAAGGCAACGAUGCAUAGCCGACCUGAGAGGGGUAGGGGCCACACGGAAACAGAAACAGGCCCCACACCCCCAGGGGGGGGAGGUGUGGGAAAUUCGCCGAAAGGGGGAAAACCCGAAGGGAGCAACCGCGGGGGGGAAAAGAGGGUUUGGGGUGUGAAAAACUGUUUUAUUAGGAAAAAAAAUGUGUGAAAGGAAAUUUCAAACUUUUGAGGUAACUUAAUAAAAAAGCACGGGCUAACUACGG